rnacentral:sRNA from 1 species
ACCUUCAGCGGGGCUGUGGCUACCAUGUUCUCUCGCGCGGGUGUCGCUGGGCUGUCGGCCUGGACCUUGCAGCCGCAAUGGAUUCAAGUUCGAAAUAUGGCAACUUUGAAAGAUAUUACCAGGAGACUAAAGUCCAUCAAAAACAUCCAGAAAAUUACCAAGUCUAUGAAAAUGGUAGCAGCAGCAAAAUAUGCCCGAGCUGAGAGAGAGCUGAAACCAGCUCGAAUAUAUGGAUUGGGAUCUUUAGCUCUGUAUGAAAAAGCUGAUAUCAAGGGGCCUGAAGACAAGAAGAAACACCUCCUUAUUGGUGUGUCCUCAGAUCGAGGACUGUGUGGUGCUAUUCAUUCCUCCAUUGCUAAACAGAUGAAAAGCGAGGUUGCUACACUAACAGCAGCUGGGAAAGAAGUUAUGCUUGUUGGAAUUGGUGACAAAAUCAGAGGCAUACUUUAUAGGACUCAUUCUGACCAGUUUCUGGUGGCAUUCAAAGAAGUGGGAAGAAAGCCCCCCACUUUUGGAGAUGCGUCAGUCAUUGCCCUUGAAUUACUAAAUUCUGGAUAUGAAUUUGAUGAAGGCUCCAUCAUCUUUAAUAAAUUCAGGUCUGUCAUCUCCUAUAAGACAGAAG